ensembl:snRNA U1 U1 spliceosomal RNA
AUAUUUACCAGGCAGGGGAGGUACCAUGGUCACAAAGGUAGUUUUCCCAUGGUGAGGCUCAUCCAUUACGUUUGGAUGUGCUGAGCUGUACAAUUUCCCCCAGUUGUGGAAAACAGCAGUUGCAUAAUUUGUCUAAAUUAAUGC